GAUGAACGCUGGCGGCGUGCUUAACACAUGCAAGUCGAACGGAAAGGCCUCUGCUUGCAGGGGUACUCGAGUGGCGAACGGGUGAGUAACACGUGGGUGAUCUGCCCUGCACUUUGGGAUAAGCCUGGGAAACUGGGUCUAAUACCAGAUAGGACCACGUCUUGGAUGGUGUGGUGGAAAGUUUUUUCGGUGUGGGAUGAGCUCGCGGCCUAUCAGCUUGUUGGUGGGGUAAUGGCCUACCAAGGCGUCGACGGGUAGCCGGCCUGAGAGGGUGUACGGCCACAUUGGGACUGAGAUACGGCCCAGACUCCUACGGGAGGCAGCAGUGGGGAAUAUUGCACAAUGGGCGCAAGCCUGAUGCAGCGACGCCGCGUGGGGGAUGACGGCCUUCGGGUUGUAAACUCCUUUCGCCAGGGACGAAGCGUUUUGUGACGGUACCUGGAUAAGAAGCACCGGCUAACUACGUGCCAGCAGCCGCGGUAAUACGUAGGGUGCGAGCGUUGUCCGGAAUUACUGGGCGUAAAGAGCUCGUAGGUGGUUUGUCGCGUCGUUUGUGUAAUACCGCAGCUUAACUGCGGGGUUGCAGGCGAUACGGGCAUAACUUGAGUGCUGUAGGGGAGACUGGAAUUCCUGGUGUAGCGGUGGAAUGCGCAGAUAUCAGGAGGAACACCGAUGGCGAAGGCAGGUCUCUGGGCAGUAACUGACGCUGAGGAGCGGAAGCAUGGGUAGCGAACAGGAUUAGAUACCCUGGUAGUCCAUGCCGUAAACGGUGGGCGCUAGGUGUGAGUCCCUUCCACGGGGUUCGUGCCGUAGCUAACGCAUUAAGCGCCCCGCCUGGGGAGUACGGCCGCAAGGCUAAAACUCAAAGGAAUUGACGGGGGCCCGCACAAGCGGCGGAGCAUGUGGAUUAAUUCGAUGCAACGCGAAGAACCUUACCUGGGCUUGACAUGCACCGGAUCGCUGCAGAGAUGUAGUUUCCCUUGUGGCUGGUGUACAGGUGGUGCAUGGUUGUCGUCAGCUCGUGUCGUGAGAUGUUGGGUUAAGUCCCGCAACGAGCGCAACCCUUGUCUUAUGUUGCCAGCAUUUGGUUGGGGACUCAUGAGAGACUGCCGGGGUUAACUCGGAGGAAGGUGGGGAUGACGUCAAAUCAUCAUGCCCCUUAUGUCCAGGGCUUCACACAUGCUACAAUGGUCGGUACAACGCGCAGCUACUUCGUGAGGAGGCGCUAAUCGCUGAAAGCCGGCCUUAGUUCGGAUUGGGGUCUGCAACUCGACCCCAUGAAGUCGGAGUCGUUAGUAAUCGUAGAUCAGCAACGCUGCGGUGAAUACGUUCCCGGGCCU
rnacentral:rRNA from 1 species